rnacentral:rRNA from 1 species
UACGGAGGAUCCGAGCGUUAUCCGGAUUUAUUGGGUUUAAAGGGUGCGCAGGCGGGGGAUUAAGUCGGCGGUGAAAUUCUGCAGCUCAACUGUAAAAGUGCCUUCGAAACUGGUUUCCUUGAGUGUAGAUGAAGUAGGCGGAAUUUGUGGUGUAGCGGUGAAAUGCAUAGAUAUCACGAGGAACUCCGAUUGCGCAGGCAGCUUACUAAACUACUACUGACGCUCAGGCACGAAGGCGUGGGGAUCAAACAGGAUUAGAUACCCCUGUA